rnacentral:piRNA from 1 species
UGAGACAUCAUGGAAGUGGGAA